UACAGGGGGUGCAAACGUUGCUCGGAAUUAUUGGGCGUAAAGCGCGCGUAGGCGGUCUUUUAAGUCGGAUGUGAAAGCCCUUGGCUCAACUGAGGAAGUGCAUCCGAAACUGAAAGGCUUGAGUACGAAAGAGGAUCGCGGAAUUCCCGGUGUAGAGGUGAAAUUCGUAGAUAUCGGGAGGAACACCGGCGGCGAAGGCGGCGAUCUGGGUCGAGACUGACGCUGAGGCGCGAAAGCGUGGGGAUCAAACAGG
rnacentral:rRNA from 1 species